rnacentral:rRNA from 1 species
UUCCGGUUGAUCCUGCCGGAUCCGACUGCUAUCCGGGUAAGACUAAGCCAUGCAAGUCGAAUGGAACAGCUUGUUCCAUGGCGAACUGCUCAGUAACAAGUAAUCAACUUACCCUUCAGUGGAGAAUAACCUCGGGAAACUGAGGCUAAUACUUCAUAGUUGGAAAUUCCUGGAAUGGUUUUCCAUCGAAAGAUAUUUCUAAAUGCGGAAAAUUCGCUGAAGGAUAGGAUCGCUUUCGAUUACGGUUGUUGGUGAGGUAAUGGCUCACCAAGCCUAUGAUCGAUAAGGGCCGUGAGAGCGGUAGCCCUGAGAUGGAUACUGAGACAAUGAUCCAGGCCUUACGAGGCGCAGCAGGCGCGAAACCUUUACAAUGCACGAAAGUGUGAUAAGGUUACCCGGAGUGCUAAAAUUAAAUUUUAGCUGUUAUAGGUGUGUAAAUAACCCUAUGAGAAAGGAGAGGGCAAGGCUGGUGCCAGCCGCCGCGGUAAAACCAGCUCUUCAAGUGGUCGGGAAUAUUAUUGGGCUUAAAGUGUCCGUAGCCGGUUUGGUAAGUUCCUGGUUAAAUCUGGCAGCUUAACUGUCAGUCAGCUAGGAAUACUACUUUACUAGAGGGUGGGAAAGGUUUGAGGUACUCCAGGGGUAGCGGUGAAAUGCGAUAAUCCUUGGGGGACCACCAGUGGCGAAGGCGUCAGACUGGAACACGCCUGACGGUGAGGGACGAAAGCCAGGGGAGCGAACGGGAUUAGAUACCCCGGUAGUCCUGGCUGUAAACGAUGCGUGCUAGGUGUUGGUAGGGCUUUGAGCUGUAUCAGUGCCGUAGGGAAACUGUUAAGCGCGCCGCCUGGGAAGUACGCUCGCAAGGGUGAAACUUAAA